rnacentral:rRNA from 1 species
GAUGAACGCUGGCGGCGUGCCUAAUACAUGCAAGUCGAGCGAACAGACGAGGAGCUUGCUCCUCUGACGUUAGCGGCGGACGGGUGAGUAACACGUGGAUAACCUACCUAUAAGACUGGGAUAACUUCGGGAAACCGGAGCUAAUACCGGAUAAUAUCUUGAACCGCAUGGUUCAAUAGUUAAAGACGGUUUUUCUUUCACUUAUAGAUGGAUCCGCGCCGCAUUAGCUAGUUGUUAAGGUAACGGCUUACCAAGGCAACGAUGCGUAGCCGACCUGAGAGGGGGAUCGGACACACUGGAACUGAGACAGGGUCAAGACUCCUACGGGAGGCAGCAGUAGGGAAUCUUCCGCAAUGGGCGAAAGCCUGACGGAGCAACGCCGCGUGAGUGAUGAAGGUCUUCGGAUCGUAAAACUCUGUUAUUAGGGAAGAACAAAUGUGGAAGUAACUAUGCACGUAUUGACGGUAACUAAUCAGAAAGCCACGGCUAACUACGUG